AUGCAAAAUAUUCUGCUACAAUUUUCUGAGGCCACUGGGCUGAAAAUCAAUUUCCAUAAAAGCACCUUUGCCCUGAUCCACGUCGACCCAAAUCUCUCGACUAGCCUUGCCACAAUCCUGGGCUGCCCAGUUGCCACCUUCCCGCAAUCGUACUUGGGCUUGCCUCUAUCCACUCACAAGCUAAACCUGGCUGACUUCUUCUUCAUCAUUGACAAGGUCGAUCACCGUCUUGCUGGGUGGAGGGGCCUUUUGCUCUCCUUGGCCGGGAGGGCCAUCCUGGUCCGCUCCGUUCUACGCGCCCUGCCAAUCUAUGCCAUAAGUGUCCUUCUUCUACCUGCUGGAACCAUCCAGGAAAUCGAGAAACGCUGCAGGGCCUUCUUUUGGUCUGGUCAGGAAUCUACCUCAGGCGGCAACUGCAAGGUCGCUUGGGACCUCGUUUGUGCUCCCAUCGCCAAUGGGGGCCUUGGUUUCCUCUCUCUACCCCACAUGAACAUGUGUCUUCUUCUCAAACAUAUUUCCAAGUUACACGACGAGCAAAUCUCGGGAGAGACUAGGUACUUGAUCACCAAAUACGGAUGGUCGACCGCUAACGAUGUAGGCAUGUUGGACAACCAGCAUACCCCGAUUUGGAAAGACAUUAUGAAAGGCCUCGCCCUCUUCCGGGACACCACCCGGGUCAGCGUCGGUAAUGGAUCCACUACCUCCUUUUGGCUUGACCUUUGGCUCCCUGGCUCAGCUCAAACCCUAGCCCUUCAAUUUCCGGCUCUGUUUUCACACUCCAAUCGAGUCCACACAUCAGUGGCACGCGCUUUGACCUCGAACGACCUCACCUUGGAUCUAACACCUAGGCUGUCUCACGCAGCCGAAUGCGAACUGCUUGAACUACGCACUAUAUUGGCCACGGUGAACUUAAAUAUGCAGGUGGCUGACAUGAGAACUACAAGGGGCGCUGAGAAACCUUUCACCGCUAAGCUUGCUUACCAUGCGGUUUGGAGGACAAAGCCCACGGACACGCUAGCCCCGGCCAUCUGGCGAAACUACGCCCCAAAUAAAUGCCGACUCUACCUCUGGCUUGCCCGCAAGGACUGCCUCUUCACGAAUGAACGUCGGGUCAGACGGGGCAUUGCUACUUCAGCCGCAUGCCCCUUCUGCGACCACUGUGAAUCCAUCAACCACCUCCUUUUCGAAUGUCAGCACCUUGCUCCUCUUUGGGGGGAGCUAGACAGCCUCUGUCCAAGUGCGCCACAGGGGCUGCUCCAAGCUUGGGAAGGCGAAUGGCACAACAAAACUAGAUCAACUGUUCUUCUGGCCGUUCUUUGGAAUAUCUGGAAGCGACGGAACGCCAAGGUCUUUCGGAACAUACAUCUUGGGCUUCAUGAUGUGGCAAGCUCCUCUGCGGAAGAUCUUAAACUUUGGUCCCACCGCUGUAAUAAUAUUCAAAAACAAAUUCAACUCAGGGACUGGGGCUCCAUGUUGUUCCACCUUGCCGGGAGAAUUUAG
rnacentral:rRNA from 1 species